AACAAAGCUAAUGGCAUUUACAUAUCAAAGAGAUUUACUCAUCACUUACAAGGUACAUGACAAAUGGAUGAAGAGACAUUCAGACUUUUUCCAAGUGUAGAACCUCACACCUUGCAGACUUCACAUCCAUACAGUAAAAUCCUUUUCACAUUCCUAUGCCAUUCACACUACCCCUUCUGUCAUCUGCCCUCUGUGGGGGUCCCAGCUUCAAAAGAUGUAACCCCUGUUGACCUCAGCAAUAGCAUCUCUGUAAUUUGUGCCAUUUACUACAAGAAAUCACAUUAAAAGAUGAUAUUCCAUAGUGUCAUAAUAAAUUAUUCACCCUUGCCGUGACACUGGGUACAAUACAGAGCCUGCCAUACAAUACACAGAGCUGGGUACAAUACAGAGACUGCCGUACAAUACACAGAGCUGGGUACAAUACAGAGACUGCCGUACAAUACACAGAGCUGGGUACAAUACAGAGACUGCCAUACAAUACACAGAGCUGGGUACAAUACAGAGCCUGCCAUACAACACACAGAGCUGGGUACAAUACACAGACUGCCAUACAAUACACAGAGC